GCUAGGAUUCCGGCGAUUUCUCCCUUUCUGGCUCUCUCCAUCUCUUGCUCCGUCUUUCCCAUUUCCCCCCGAUGACUACGGUCCAGUGAUUUGCCGGUGAUAGAUCCGGAUGAUUAUCCUGCCGAAUCUAGCGGCGGCGAGUAUGAGCUCGGGCUGCGGUAGAGAGAGCAUCCCACGCGAGAGAGCAUCCCACGCGAGAGGGUGGGCAAGCUCUUCCUCGGAUGGAUUCUCGUGCGCGAGGUGGUUAUAAUUUGGCCGCGGUGGACCUCCUGUGCGCAACAUCUUCAGAUACUGACGGUGUAGGGGUGGUGAGAUUCAGAGAUCUGCAAAUAUAGAGGAGAGAGGCCGAACGAGAGGAUGUGGAGCUCGGUGGCGGAGAGUGGUCGUACGCCUGGGCGUGGAGCUCAGUGGUGGCAGAGGAGCGAGUUUGACGGAACUGCAAGUUCCAUCCAAUUUUGUCUCGGGUGACUAGAUCGAGAAUAUGAGUCAACAAAGUUGGAGGCACCUGUCCAACUAAGUUGAUUCAUCAGGCAACUUGUUUUAUCAACUUAUGCAAACACAGUUUAAUGGAGAGCUGCAGGAGAGAAAGAAGAGAAACUGCUGGGAGGAGGCGUCACGUGGUCCUAGGCUGGGCCUGGUUAGGGUUGCACUAGCACGCGAGUGUUGACCCUGGACAAGCGGGAACCUAAUCAGGCACCCCGGAGCACGUGGGAGAUUGGCUGCUGGCGAAUCUGACAAUAAAUGGGGGGACGGAAGAAUAUGUCUGCAUAGGACUUGGAGACAAAGAGCAAGUAUCUAGCGGCAAUGUUGCGCAGAUGAGAAAAUGUCAGUUGUUUGUAUUCAUGCUGUACCUAGACUGGUGUCACUUGAGGCCGCUGACAAAUUAACCAUAUUCAUGCCCGGAAAGGAAACUGUAAGCACAUCAUUUCAUCUCUGUCGGCAGAAGAGCUUGGAAGAUUGUUGGCUCGGAUACAAGCAACAGGAGCUGACAUAGUCAAGAAUAUUUUCAAAUACUUGUGCACUGCCAAUAGGCCAAUAGCUACAAGCGAGACACUACUAAAACUUGGCUCGAUGUUUAUGUCUAGUUGGGAGGGCGGCGGAUAGCUUUGGCGCAGCACAAAAUGGUAUACUGAGAGCACAUAUGCUGCCUUAAUGUUAUUUCUGUUGCUUUUUUUGGAAGUGGGUAUAUGUAGAUAACUGGAAAUAAAGCAGUACACUUGUCCGGAUACCAGUAAAGGAAGCGGUAUAUGUGAUGGACUGGCCCCUUGGCGUGUAUUUUGUUCGCUUCAACAAUUUCCACGGUGGGUUCAGUUUUGGCCUUAGCAGCAUGUCCAAGCGGGAAGCAGGGAUGCAGCGGAGGAUCUGAAGAUGCAAUCCAAUGGUCGAUAUUGGAGCUACCGUCCACACCAAAGGCCUCAGACACCCAAUGGCAGUGGCGCCUUGGCUCUUAUC